GUGAUGUUGUGCUGAACAGCACACAUUUGAAUAGCUUACUGAGUAGCUGAAAAGGGCAAUGACCUUGACCCACUUUGUGAUUUCAGGUGCUUUUAAGAAGAACCCCAUGCCAAGUGGAGGACGGUGUGAGAAAUGCAGAAUGUGAUGGGGUAACUUGGGUGGGUAUCAGCUUCCCAUCAGCUGACCAGUUCCCCAUCAUCCCUCUCUGGGCAGCACAGGGUCACUGGGCUCCAUCUCCAGCUCAGGGAAAGUUCAGUGCAGCUGUGCCGGCUGUUGUUGGAAAUUUCAUAAUGUAAAGUGGAAAUUGGGCACAGGCCUCCAGGUGCUGUGAUGUGCCUGCUCCCAUUUGCCUUCCACCAUGACUGGAAGCUCCCUGAGGCCUCCUCCAAAGCAGAAGCUGCCAUGCUUCCUGUACAGCCUGCAGAACCGUGAGCCAAUUCAACCUCUUUUCUUUAUACAUUACUCAGUCUCAAGUAUUUCUUUAUAGCAGUGUGCAAAUGGACUAAAACAGCAUCUCAGAGAUCCCAGCCAAUCCCAGGAGCUCCAGUGCCCCAUCUCUCCAGGUGUCCCAGGCUGUAGGGACCAGCCUGAAGCCUUCCCUGACCCAGGCCUAGGCCCUACAAGAGGCCUGUGACAAGAGACCUCCUUAGCCUCUUCAGCUUCCAUUGGAAUCAACUUAGCUGCCAGGAGGCUGGAACUUUCCCCCACUCUGUUAGUUACUUGAAGGAAAGCCACCAACAUAGACAAUGGCUGCACAACACUGGAAUGGAGAAGGUUUACCAUAAUUUAUACAACAACCAUUCCCCUACUUUUUGUUUUUUGACUUUUCACUAUGAAUAUCCUCAUGAUAAAUAUCAUGGGCUCAUGGUAGCUUUCCCUUAAGAUAGACUCCCCAAAGUGAAAAAAAAUUGGUCAAAGAAUAUAAGAAUCUUUAUGACUCUUGCCAAAUUCCUUCUCAAGUAUUUGCACCACUGUAAAAUGUCACCAUCAACAUGUGAGAGCACCAGUUUCACCCUGACUCUGCUAGUGUUAUUAUUUGUUGAUUAUUUUUCCAACUUAGUAGUUAAAAAUAUACAGUCUGCCCUCUGUUUCCAGGGGUUGCACAUCCAUAGAUUCAACCAGCCAGAGACUGAAAAUAUUUGGGAAAAGAACCAUAAAAAAUAACAAUAUGUCCAUAAAAAUAAUACAAAAUUUAAAAACAAUCUAGCAUAACAACUAUUUAAAUAGCAUUUAUAUUGUAUUAGGUAUUAUAAGUUAUCUGGGUGACUUAAAGUAUAUGGGAAGAUGUGCAAAUACAGUGUCACUUUAUGUAAAAGACUUGAGCAUCCUCGAAUUUUGGUUUCUCUGAGGGGUCCUGGAACCAAUCCGCCACGGCUACCAUGGGAUGAAUGUACUCCCUCAUCAAUGUUUCAAGUUGCAUUUCUUGGAUUACUAGUGAGACUGAACAUUUUCCCAUGUCUGUUUAUUGACUAUAUUUUCCCUUUCCUAAAGUAUCAGUUUCCAUCCUUUGCCCACACAUCUGUGGGGAGUUCACUGGGUUUUGUAGAUAUAUCUGAGGUUACUGCUUUGUGAUAUUUGCUCAGCAUGUAUUAUCACUCCACUUGGAUAUCUAAUGGGCCAUUUAAAUUUAAGAUGUCAAAAUGUAACCCCAGGUUUUCCUCCCUAAACCUGCUGUCCUUUCUCUGGUCUUCCCUGUCUUAAUAAAUGGCACUAUAAUCCACCUUUGCCCAAAACCCAGGAGCCCUUCAUGAUCCCUCCUUUUCCAUACUCCAUAUAUCCCAUCUCCCAGCCAGUCUCCCCCAUCCACCCUUCUCUGAUCACCCAAUUCAUGCCAGGUCACCAUUCAUCACAUAGCCUCCUUUCUUCUUUGCAGUACCUGCUAGGAUCAGAAACUCUCUUUCCUUCCUUCUUUCCUUCCUUCCUUCUUCUCUCCCUCCC
rnacentral:lncRNA from 1 species